AAACAGUUCAGUGUUUGGACCUAAUCCUGAACCAUGUUGAUUUUUUAGGUUGUGUUUUCCUUCUCGAAAGAUUGCAGACUACCCAUUUUCUCCGGGGUUAGUGGAGGUGACAAGAAGGCCUACAAAGGACUGUGGGCUACUGUGAUAUGACGGCCACCAAAACUCUUCCUGGAAUCAAAGGGAAAUUUACUUGAGGGAAAACAUGAAAGCAAGUUCCAAGGCUUGGCUGCAAGGAGGACAUUAAGGAUGGACUCCCAAGGCAUGGCUGCAAUGGUUGUUUGGAACAAGAAACAGAUACCCUCUUGCUGUCAUUCAUCUCUGAUUGGGAAUCUGAGCUUGAAGGAAGCUGUAUAUUUGUGGUCACCUGAUGGCAAUGAAUGCAAAGACCCUGUGCAGCAGCAGUGCCUCUCACAGGGAAUACCAGGAGGGAAACUGGAAGUAAUCAAAGCACGCAGAAUUUGCUCUUCUUGGUGGAGGUCUCAUGCAGGCAGCACUUGA
rnacentral:lncRNA from 1 species